UACGUAGGGGGCUAGCGUUGUCCGGAAUCAUUGGGCGUAAAGAGCGUGUAGGCGGCUUGUUAAGUCUUGCGUGAAAUCUCGGGGCUCAACCCCGAGCGGUCGUGAGAAACUGGCAGGCUAGAGUGCGGGAGAGGAGAGUGGAAUUCCUGGUGUAGCGGUGAAAUGCGCAGAUAUCAGGAAGAACACCCGUGGCGAAGGCGGCUCACUGGACCAUUACUGACGCUGAGGCACGAAAGCUAGGGGAGCAAACAGG
rnacentral:rRNA from 1 species